AACCAAAAAAGGUAAACCCAUCGAAAGGUGGGGGCGCAAAGUUUCCGGUCUAAGGGGCGAAAGCUCUACGAUAGCGGGAUUGCUGGG
rnacentral:ncRNA from 1 species